rnacentral:rRNA from 1 species
GAACGCUGGCGGCAUGCCUAACACAUGCAAGUCGAACGGUAACGCGGAGAGCUUGCUCUCUGGCGACGAGUGGCGGACGGGUGAGUAAUACUUAGGAAUCUGCCAAGUAGUGGGGGACAACAUUCGGAAACGGAUGCUAAUACCGCAUACGCACUACGGUGGAAAGUGGGGGAUCUUCGGACCUCACGCUAUUGGAUGAGCCUAAGUCGGAUUAGCUUGUUGGUGAGGUAAUGGCUCACCAAGGCGACGAUCCGUAGCUGGUCUGAGAGGACGAUCAGCCACACUGGGACUGAGACACGGCCCAGACUCCUACGGGAGGCAGCAGUGGGGAAUAUUGGACAAUGGGCGCAAGCCUGAUCCAGCAAUGCCGCGUGUGUGAAGAAGGCCUGCGGGUUGUAAAGCACUUUCAGUAGAGAAGAAAAGCCUAGGGUUAAUACCCCUGAGUCUUGACGUAACCUACAGAAGAAGCACCGGCUAACUCCGUG